rnacentral:rRNA from 1 species
CAGCAGCCGCGGGAAUACAGAGGGUGCAAGCGUUAAUCGGAAUUACUGGGCGUAAAGCGCGCGUAGGUGGUUUGUUAAGUUGGAUGUGAAAUCCCCGGGCUCAACCUGGGAACUGCAUCCAAAACUGGCAAGCUAGAGUAUGGUAGAGGGUGGUGGAAUUUCCUGUGUAGCGGUGAAAUGCGUAGAUAUAGGAAGGAACACCAGUGGCGAAGGCGACCACCUGGACUGAUACUGACACUGAGAGACGAAAGCUAGGGGAGCAAAUGGGAUUAGAUACCCCCGUAGUCCCUGUCUCUUAUAC